rnacentral:lncRNA from 1 species
ACAGCAAGAAUUGGGGUGUUUUGCAACAGUGGCCCGGAUGAAAUUUUUCGUCACUGUGGAAGCAUAUACCAGCGACUUUCUUGGCUUGCAUUUCUGCUUGAGUGAGGCGCUUGAUUGGAAGAGAUGAUGAAGAUUGUGGGGAUGAAACAGAUCCAACAAUGGAAUCAAUUACCCCGGCAGUGAGCUUGUCUUCAAUUAAACGAGCUAAUCCGUACGUUUGAUGCAACGUGUGAGGAUGAUGGAUUGCUAGUUCGCUUUGAAUGUCCGGUUUAAGUCCGGAGAUGAAACAAUUCUUUAGUGUCUCGGGAGAUAAACCGAUGACCCGGUUAGCGAGUCGUUCAAACUCAGUUUGAUACAUGGCAACGGUGGUUUUCUGCUGGAGCUUGAAAAGAGUUGCCUGGUGAUUCUUGUAGGAAGAAGGACCAAAUCGGAGUUCCAAAGCUCUUGAAAAUUCCGGCCAAGUUCCGAGUAACCUGUUAUUCGAGAGAUACUUGUACCAACUUAAUGCGUCACCGGUGAAAUAGAAUACAGCUAAGUAAAGGCGUUGAACAUCCGGAACCGAGUAGUAGGUAAAGUAGUUAUUGGCUUGGAAGAGCCAAUCCAAUGGGUUCGAACCAUCAAACAUGGGAAGGGUAAUCUUCGGCGGUUUGGGGGUGUGGUUGGCAGGAGGUGGUGUCACGACGGGGCGGCAUGGCGGAAGGUGAAGACGAAGAAUGAAAGCACCAAUUGAUAGAACCGAGUUCGAGAUCGGUGGUCUCCAAAUUACGAACAAAGAACAAUUGUAAAACUAAAAUUGAAAGUA